GACACUAAUAGGUUAAUGCUGAUGGCACUGGCACUAGAGACUUGAUAUUGGUGAUCAUUGGUGUUUUUAGAGUCUGCGCUGCAGCGGGUGCUUGAUAGAAGACAGCGGAGCCGGAUGCAGCCGCCAGAACCUCCAAUAUGGCCGUGCCCAGGGAACUUCCUGUUUUGGUCCGGUCGGCAAAGUCUUCCCCUGUGCAACGUAGGGUGGCUCUUUGGUUCCUCCUUCCUGUGCUGGAGAGGCGUCACUGCCGGGGACUGAUGGGGCGGAGCUGCGACAGCUCACGUGAGGGGGAAACACCGGACCCAAUUAACCCUUUCAGUCAUUGGCUCCGGCACGAAGCGCAGCCAGAAGAAGUCAAGCACGCUUUACGAAGCCUGGGAAAAAAAUAUAUAUCUUUGGCAGAAACACAUAAUAAUAUAAUAAUAUGUUAUGUUUUUUUAGGAUAAAGAAGCUACUGAAAAGCA